rnacentral:lncRNA from 1 species
CUGGUAUUUCAACUUCUCAUAUCCUGCAUCUAUCACUACUCCCUAGUCCACAUGCAUCUAUGAUCUAUGCUUUGUGAAGGUUGGAGUCUCCAUGCUUGCGUGGGGAUGGGAUACAUGAGGAAGACAAGUUGGGGCUGCAGCGUCUCACCCUGUCAUGUCUAUCUCUCAGAGCUUGCGACACUUAAGGAAACCCCAACCAUAAGACAGAUCAAUGGAUGAACCACAACUACACGUCAAGCAGGCGCGCAAAAUGUAAGAUCUGCUUGUCCACUUCAAAGUGUAUCACGUCGGUAAACUGUAACUACUGCAGUUAAAUCAUAUGAGAGACAGGCUAAAAUAUGCACUUCUACUUCUAGUGUUAUCUAACCGACUAGUCAAGACCAAGAGAGAAAGAGAGACAUAUCCUUUUGCCCUCAUGACCGCGGGUAUCUAGAUCCUCUCGCCUCGAGACCUAGAUCCUCUGUCUUGUCUUUAGAGGCUAAAGGCAAAUAUGCAUAGCAAAAUGUGUAUAGAGCUACAGCGUGAAACAUUAGCGAUUGAUCUUAUUUGUUCCUCAUAGAUCGGACGGUUAAAAAUAUCCAAAGCUAUUGUAUU